UACGGAGGAGGCAAGCGUUAUCCGGAAUUAUUGGGCGUAAAGCGUCCGUAGGUGGCUAGUCAAGUCUGCGGUCAAAGACUGGGGCUUAACCCUGGAAAGGCCGUGGAAACUGACGAGCUAGAGUGCAGUAGGGGUAGAGGGAAUUCCCGGUGUAGCGGUGAAAUGCGUAGAGCUCUGGAAGAACAUCGGUGGCGAAAGCGCUCUACUGGACUGCAACUGACACUCAGGGACGAAAGCUAGGGGAGCGAAUGGG
rnacentral:rRNA from 1 species